rnacentral:sRNA from 1 species
UCCCUCUGCUUUUCUUGGACGUUUCCUCCCUAAACUUGGCGGUGCCUUCGGGCACCGCCUUCUUUUUUUCCGGG